CUGAAAGUGCUGCAUUCUGAAGGAUUGUGUCCACAGAGUAGCUGCGUCAGGGACAGGAACAGCGCAGAGUUCUGACACGCUCCGGUACGCGGAUCUGUAAGGACCACCUACAGGGAGAGAGGGUGUAAUUCAGUUUCCACACUCAUUCAAUCCUGAUGGCCGUC
rnacentral:sRNA from 1 species